AACGCAGCGAAGGGCGAUACGUAAUGUGAAUUGCAGAAUUCAGUGAAUCAUCGAAUCUUUGAACGCACAUUGCACUCCUUGGUAUUCCGAGGAGUAUGCCUGUUUCAGUAUCAUGAGCACUCUCACACCUAACCUUUGGGUUUUGUUGUGGAAUUGGGAUGCGCCGAUUUUAAUAGUCGGCACUCCUAAAAUGUAGUUCUUGGCUGUUCCUACUACAGCAGUUUGGCCUAAUAGUUUUGGCAGUUAUAUGUCAAAUCUUUGGCUACAUUUACUUUGGUCCAUGCAGUCUUGAUAUACAGAAAACUCUAAUACAACUUUGAUCUGAAAUCAGGUAGGGCUACCCGCUGAACUUAA
rnacentral:rRNA from 1 species